rnacentral:rRNA from 1 species
CCUACGGGGGGCUGCAGUGGGGAAUAUUGGACAAUGGGGGGAACCCUGAUCCAGCCAUGCCGCGUGUGUGAAGAAGGCCCUCGGGUUGUAAAGCACUUUCAGUGAGGAAGAACGCCUGGUGGUUAAUACCCAUCAGGAAAGACAUCACUCACAGAAGAAGCACCGGCUAACUCCGUGCCAGCAGCCGCGGUAAUACGGAGGGUGCGAGCGUUAAUCGGAAUUACUGGGCGUAAAGCGCGCGUAGGUGGCUUGAUAAGCCGGUUGUGAAAGCCCCGGGCUCAACCUGGGAACGGCAUCCGGAACUGUCAAGCUAGAGUGCAGGAGAGGUAGGUAGAAUUCCCGGUGUAGCGGUGAAAUGCGUAGAGAUCGGGAGGAAUACCAGUGGCGAAGGCGGCCUUCUGGACUGACACUGACACUGAGGUGCGAAAGCGUGGGUAGCAAACAGGAUUAGAUACCCGGGUAGUC